AGAGUUUGAUCCUGGCUCACAGCGAACGCUGGCGGCAGGCCUAACACAUGCAAGUCGAACGGAUCCUUCGGGAUUAUUGGCGGACGAGUGAGUAACACGUGGGAACGUGCCUUUUGGUUCGGAACAGCUCAGGGAAACUUGAGCUAAUACCGGAUGUGCCCUUCGGGGGAAGAUUUAUCGCCCUUAGAGCGGCCCGAGUCUGAUUAGCUUGUUGAUGAGGUAAAGGCUCACCAAGGCCACGAUCAGUAACUGGGCCGAAAGGGUGAUCAACCACACUGGGACUGAAACACGGGGCCAGACACGUCGGGGAGCAGCAGUGGGGAAUUUUGCCCAUGGGGGGAAGCCUGACGCACCAUGCCGGGGGGAUGAAGAAGGUCUUAAGGAUGGAAAUUUUUUCACCGGGGGCUAAAAGGACGGUACCCGGAGAAGAAGCUGGGGGAAAUUUCGUGGGCCGCAGCCCGCGGUAAUAAAAAAGGGGGGCUAGCGGUUGCUCCGGAAUUUCUGGGGCGUAAAAGGGAACCGUAAGCGGGACAGUUUAAUCCUAAAGUGGAAAAACCCCCGGCUUCAACCUUGGAAUUGCCCUUUGAAUACUGGGUGUCUUUGAGUAUUGGAAAAAGUGUUGGGGGGACUUCCCCACCGGGAGAGGUGAAAUUUCGUAAAAUAUUUCGGAAAAAACACCCGGGGGGAAAGGCGAACACACUGGGCCCCCUUCCUUGAACUUAAGGUUCGAAAGCGUGGGGAGCCGAACAGGGAUUAAAUACCCCGUGGGUAGUCCACGCUGUAAACGAUGAGUGCUUAGUGUCGCCAUCGCAUGCAUGUCGGAUGACGCAGCUACCGCAUAAAUCCACUCCGCCUGGGGAGUACGCUCGCAAGUAUUAAAACUCAAAGGAAUUGACGGGGCCCAGCACAAGCGGUGGAGCAUGUGUUUAAUUCGAAGCAACGUGCAGAACCCUUCCCACCUUUGACAUGUCCUGAUAACUGCAGAGAUGCAGUUUUCCCUUCGGGGACAGGAACACAGGUGCUGCAUGGCUGUCGUCAGCUCGUGUCAUGAGAUGUUGGGUUAAGUCCCGCAACGAGCGCAACCCACGCCUUUAGUUUCCAUCGUUUAGUCGGGCACUAUAAAAGGGACCGCCCGGUGGUAAGCCGGAGGAAGGUGUGGAUGACGUCAAGUCCUCAUGGCCCUUACAGGGUGGGCUACACACGUGCUACAAUGGCGACUACAGAGGGCUGCAAUCCUGCGAAGGGGAGCCAAUCCUUAAAAGUCGUCUCAGUUCGGAUUGCACUCUGCAACUCGAGUGCAUGAAGUUGGAAUCGCUAGUAAUCGCGGAUCAGCAUGCCGCGGUGAAUACGUUCCCGGGCCUUGUACACACCGCCCGUCACACCAUGGGAGUUGGCUUUACCCGAAGGCGCUGUGCUAACCGCAAGGAGGCAGGCGACCACGGUAGGGUCAGCGACUGGGGUGAAGUCCUAACAAGGUAACC
rnacentral:rRNA from 1 species